GAAUUCUAGACAGUUCGGCACCCAGACAAAUCGGUACCCGGACAAAUCGGCACCUACCAAAGACAAAUCGGCACCCGUGAAAGACAAAUCGGCACCCAGACAAAUCGGCACUUAGACAAAUCGGCACCUCACAUAGACAAAUCGGCACCUUAUAAAUUAUUUAUCUUUGAUCUAUAUAUAGUGAACCAAAAAUUAUGUUUGAGUGUUAUUUAUUUGUCUCCUGCACUAUUUAUAACAUUAUUGUCAAUAUUGUACAUUGUUUCUUUGAAUAUGUAUCUUAUUAAGUGGUUUAUCCCUUUUAGUUAUUUGUUCGGCACCCAG
rnacentral:lncRNA from 1 species